AUUGAACGCUGGCGGCAGGCUUAACACAUGCAAGUCGAACGGUAACAUAAAGAAGCUUGCUUCUUUGAUGACGAGUGGCGGACGGGUGAGUAAUGCUUGGGAAUCUAGCUUAUGGAGGGGGAUAACUAUGGGAAACUGUAGCUAAUACCGCGUAGAAUCGAGAGAUGAAAGUGUGGGACCUUCGGGCCACAUGCCAUAGGAUGAGCCCAAGUGGGAUUAGGUAGUUGGUGAGGUAAAGGCUCACCAAGCCGACGAUCUCUAGCUGGUCUGAGAGGAUGACCAGCCACACUGGGACUGAGACACGGCCCAGACUCCUACGGGAGGCAGCAGUGGGGAAUAUUGCGCAAUGGGGGCAACCCUGACGCAGCCAUGCCGCGUGAAUGAAGAAGGCCUUCGGGUUGUAAAGUUCUUUCGGUAGCGAGGAAGGCAUUUAGUUUAAUAGACUAGGUGAUUGACGUUAACUACAGAAGAAGCACCGGCUAACUCCGUGCCAGCAGCCGCGGUAAUACGGAGGGUGCGAGCGUUAAUCGGAAUAACUGGGCGUAAAGGGCACGCAGGCGGUGACUUAAGUGAGGUGUGAAAGCCCCGGGCUUAACCUGGGAAUUGCAUUUCAUACUGGGUCGCUAGAGUACUUUAGGGAGGGGUAGAAUUCCACGUGUAGCGGUGAAAUGCGUAGAGAUGUGGAGGAAUACCGAAGGCGAAGGCAGCCCCUUGGGAAUGUACUGACGCUCAUGUGCGAAAGCGUGGGGAGCAAACAGG
rnacentral:rRNA from 1 species